UGCAGUCGUGGUAUAGUCUGGUUAUUACUUGGGCCUUCCAAGCCUACAACCCGGGUUCGAAUCCCGGCGACUGCAUC
rnacentral:tRNA from 1 species